rnacentral:rRNA from 1 species
UGGGGAAUAUUGGGCAAUGGACGAAAGUCUGACCCAGCGACGCCGCGUGAGGGAAGAAGGUCUUCGGAUUGUAAACCUUAGUCAACAGGGAAGAAGAAAGUGACGGUACCUGUGGAGGAAGCCACGGCUAACUACGUGCCAGCAGCCGCGGUAAUACGUAGGUGGCGAGCGUUAUCCGGAUUUACUGGGUGUAAAGGGUGUGUAGGCGGGAAGGCAAGUCAGAUGUGAAAACUAUGGGCUCAACCCAUAGCCUGCAUUUGAAACUGUUUUUCUUGAGAGUCGGAGAGGUAAGUGGAAUUCCCGGUGUAGCGGUGAAAUGCGUAGAUAUCGGGAGGAACAUCUGUGGCGAAGGCGACUUACUGGACGAUUACUGACGCUGAGACACGAAAGCGUGGGGAGCAAACAGG